UACGUAGGGUACAAGCGUUAAUCAGAAUUACUGGGCGUAAAGCGUGCGCAGGCGGUUUUGUAAGUCAGAUGUGAAAUCCCCGGGCUUAACCUGGGAACUGCGUUUGAAACUACAAGGCUAGAGUGUGGCAGAGGGGGGUGGAAUUCCACGUGUAGCAGUGAAAUGCGUAGAGAUGUGGAGGAACACCGAUGGCGAAGGCAGCCCCCUGGGUUAACACUGACGCUCAGGCACGAAAGCGUGGGGAGCAAACAGG
rnacentral:rRNA from 1 species